UUGUACACACCGCCCGUCACACCAUGGGAGUGGGUUGCACCAGAAGAUGCAUCUAACUUCGGGAGGACGGUUACCACGGUGUGAUUCAUGACUGGGGUGAAGUCGUAACAAGGUAGCCGUAGGGGAACCUGCGGCUGGAUCACCUCCUUAAUCGA
rnacentral:rRNA from 1 species